AACAGAGGAUGAACGGCUAAAAUAGCGCCGUCCUGGCGCGACGCCGUUCUGACCAACAUCCUGUUGG
rnacentral:sRNA from 1 species